UAUGGGACCAGAUGCAAGAUUCAGAGAAAGAAAUUUGAAAGAAAGUAAAGAUCUCAGUUCUGGAUGGAUCUCAUGAACGAUUUGAAGGAAAGACAUCUCUUCAAUGGAAGUCAUGACCACACAUGCCUUGUGCGGUUUGUCUUCAUGGAUAUGCUACAGAGAGAUCUUGAUGAAUGCAAGGACAGGUGGAAUAAACAUACCAUAAGACCUGUUAAACAAUCUUGCUGUCCAUCUGGUAAACCAAAUGUGAUGUAUCAUCUACCUCACAGGUUUGGUGGAACAGACUGUGGUUUCCCAGUCUCCCAGGAGCAAUUGGGACAGUUUGUGACAGAGACUAACAACAUUCAAUGUGGAGAUGAACACCUUGAGGCACAUUUUGAGAACCUGCAGAGACAGUGUGGCCUAGCACAUCCACAGAGUUGGGAAUCAUGUGUCGAAAACUAUAUCAAACUGAAAAACAUGGCGGACUUAUAAACAAACAAGAAUCCAAAUUUGAAGGUCGCACACAAACACUAAACAGUGUCAUAACUGAACAGGUUUGACAAGUUAAAUAGUUAGCAUUUUGUUUUGUUGUUAUGCAUUUGACCUUAAUAAAGCCCAAAUCCAGGGGAGUUUUGAAUCCCAAAGUCCAUGUUUUCUUUAAACUGAUGAUACGUCUUGGACAUUGGUAUUUUGAUAGUGUUGGAGCAGGUGCUACUGACAGGAAAACGAGAAGUGGCCUGAAAGAUCAGUUUUGGUGGUGGCAGAAUUGAAGAUGGAGGUAGUGUGUUCAAGCCGGUGGCAAACAUCAGGAUGUCCUGGAGAGAGAGACCCGUUUUUUGUUCUAGAAAAGAAGCAAUGAGUUUAUGUAUCAGAUAUUACAAUAACACCAGAAUAUAGCAAUAAAUCUUAAAGUC